rnacentral:rRNA from 1 species
CAGCACCUCAAGUAGUCAGGAUGAUUAUUGGGCCUAAAGCAUCCGUAGCCGGCGCUGUAAGUUUUCGGUUAAAUCUGUAUGCUCAACAUACAGGCUGCCGGGAAUACUGCAGAGCUAGGGAGUGGGAGAGGUAGACGGUACUCGGUAGGAAGGGGUAAAAUCCUUUGAUCUAUUGAUGACCACCUGUGGCGAAGGCGGUCUACCAGAACACGUCCGACGGUGAGGGAUGAAAGCUAGGGGAGCGAACCGGAUUAGAUACCCGAGUAGUCC